rnacentral:tRNA from 1 species
UAAAGUGUCUGGGUUGCAGUCAGGUGAUGUGAAUUAGUGUUUGCAGGCCUUC